UGGGGAAUAUUGGACAAUGGGGGCAACCCUGAUCCAGCCAUGCCGCGUGAGUGAUGAAGGCCUUAGGGUUGUAAAGCUCUUUUACCAGGGAUGAUAAUGACAGUACCUGGAGAAUAAGCUCCGGCUAACUCCGUGCCAGCAGCCGCGGUAAUACGGAGGGAGCUAGCGUUGUUCGGAAUUACUGGGCGUAAAGCGCGCGUAGGCGGCUUAUCAAGUCAGAGGUGAAAGCCCGGGGCUCAACCCCGGAACUGCCUUUGAAACUAGUAAGCUAGAAUCUUGGAGAGGUGAGUGGAAUUCCGAGUGUAGAGGUGAAAUUCGUAGAUAUUCGGAAGAACACCAGUGGCGAAGGCGACUCACUGGACAAGUAUUGACGCUGAGGUGCGAAAGCGUGGGGAGCAAACAGGAUUAGAUACCCCCGUAGUCC
rnacentral:rRNA from 1 species